UGCUUUCCGCUCGUACGCCCGGCCCUUGCAAACACCAGCGCGGCACAGCCGCGUGAUCCGGGCGCGGUUCGCGAUGCCCGCCGAUCCCUCGACAACCCGGCAACGGUAACGAUGCCUGCUCGCGGUCGCGUCCCAUCGAGACGGUUUCCCGCGAAAUCGCUCGGCGUCCCCUGCGGCGGGUCUCGCUUCCGACAUGAGCCGGACAAGAUGGCGAUGGGCCGAUUCGCGGCGAAAAUGUAAUCCGCGCGCAUCGGUUGUACACCGGACGCCGAUCACUCGCCCGCGCAAUCCACCCGCGCCGCUCGGCCGCGACGCGCUCGCCGGUAUGCUUCUUUUUGUUUCCGGCGCCCGCGAAUAUGGCAGAGUAACGUUAUCGUCGUCGUGGCUCGGGGUUGCGGUCUCUUUUUUUUCUAUUAUUUUCUUUCAUUUUUUUCUCAUGCCGUCCGUAGCAUGAGGAGAUCCGCUCCGCUCCGCUUCGUGUCGCGUGCACUCCGCACGUCAUUUCGUACGCUCGCGUUCGAUUUUUUGCCGCUUUGUUUCUUUCUCCCCGUCUACCUCACCCGCCCCUACCGCCCUCUCAUUUUUCUUCUCCCUUUUCUCUCUUCCUCCAACUCUUUCUCCUUCGCGAUAACGCCGUUCAUGUUUGCGACCGCGUCACGUUUUUGCGCCGCGAGUAGAGCGCGAGGCGCGGUAAAUCUGACGUCACUUUUUAACACGGUAUUUCCCAUUAUCACGCGAAUGUUUACAAAUUAGAUAUUUUGUAUACAGAGACGUAAACACAAAUGUGAAUUAUGCAAUUGAACAAUUUUACUGCGUCCUAUCGAUUACCAAUGCACUCGUAGUAAAUCUGUUUGAGAUAUUUUACAUAUUGUUUAACAUAAAUAAAUUAAGCCAAUUAACUCUCUUCUAGUCCUAUAAUUAAUGGAAGGCAGUCACAAUUUCAUCAUUGAUAAAAAGUUUAAUGUAAUUUUGAAAAAGUCCACGUUUGAUCAGUUACGAGUCAUCCUUUCCUUAUUCACAGUAACAGUUUACGGUCAGAAAAUUCAGAAUCUAGUCAAUUGCUCGAAAACGAUUGACAAAUCCGUCCGAAUGCUUGUCUGGGCACCUCUGAAUUGAAAACUGUGAGGCUUCGUGAAUGAACUUUGGGGUCGGAAAUUAUUGUGAACGAUCGAGCCAUCGAGUUCUCAAGUCCAUCCAUGUUACGUCACAACACGAAAUGUGUGUUCUAAGGAGUCAAAUCGAGUUAAAUGUUACUUGAGAUCAAAAUACCGUGUGUAGCGACACACGCUUGCCCGCUGGAUAAUACAGAGUAGAGUAAUUUCCGCUGAUUCGAGUGUGAUAUUUGGAUUAUUUGGGCAUGAGCAAAACGCAGAGACACUAGGGCCAAUGCAAACAUCUCCAAUAGGCUCCGGAACGCCAUUAACGCAGUUUCUGUGACUUGGU
rnacentral:lncRNA from 13 species